rnacentral:lncRNA from 1 species
CCCGCCCCGCCCUUGCCCGCACAGGUGUGGCACCCGCCCGCCCCGCCGCACGGAGCCGCCUGCCCGCGGCCACACGCCAGGCGUCACUCGGGCUGGCGCCGGUCUACCUAGGCAGGCGUGGGACCUGUCGGGGGCUUCACGGCAGCGCGGAAGGCCAGCCUGCAGAGAGGCUGGGCCCAGCGCCCUGACUGACCCAGCCCCGCCACGUCCAAGGUUCCCGCCCUCUGGAGGAAGCCGCGCAAUCACUCCGGGGGCGGGGAGAGACAGACAACUGAGAGGAAGGAGGUACCACGGGCACUCUCUCGCGAGAGGGCCGCAGAGCCGCCUUUGACGGGGGCGUGUACCUGGAGAGCAACGUGACAUCUGUUUGAGCAGAUGAAUAUGCCAUUGGGAAAGUCAAGGACUGUCGGAGAGGAGGACAUGGCAGACCUUAACUAAAGUGAGGGGGACAGUAGAGCACUAAAAGUUCUAGGAAAGGAGAUGAACUGCUUAUUCCAUCAGAUGAAAAUAUAGUCAGAACAGAUGAGUAGUAGAACUUAAACAUGCCCGGAGUUGCCAGGAAUUUGCAAAAGCCUUGAUAUAAUUCCUGUUGCUGUAGAAAGACUUUCUACAGUCACUAAUAUAUCAAGUUAUGUUCACUAGAAAAAAAGUUUACUUAGUUUAUAGAAAUGGGCUGAAAAAUCCUAAUUACUUAUCUGUGAGGUUAUUUUCAUGAAGGUUAAUCAUCCAGAAACUAUUAGAGAGCCUCGGAAUAUAUUUCUUCUAAUCUGCUCUACCUAUCCCAUUCAAAGGAGGGAAUCUGAAGAUUUAAGGACAAAGAGCAGUUGAAAACUCAGAGCUGUGGUUAAUGGGAGAAUUUCAAGGAUGGUGAAAAAAACUAACAUCAUUGCAUCCCUGUUUUUUGUAUUCUGGACUUUUUAGUUUAGCUCUUGGUAAACUACAUCAGAAAUUCUUUAUGCUAACUCUAACACACAUUUUGGGGUAUUGCUAAUUUAAUCUUUGAAUACUGUUUUUGCUGUUUCAUGAUUAUAUGUUAUGUCCUACCAGCUAGAUUGCCAACUCUUGACUACUGACUGGAAGUUUAUUGUUUAUUCAGCAAAUAAUGAAUUAAGUCAGUGAAGUGAGAGAUUUCGUGUGUAAGGAUUGUUAACUUGAACAUUUCACCAGUUACACACAGUUCAGCCCUACUUAAAUUUUAAAAAUCAUUGUUGGCACUUGACAUUGUUAUGAGGAGUUUUGUAUUUUCAACUUGUAUUUUGAGAGUGUCCUCAUGUGACUGAAGUAUGUGCUACUCUUCUUAAUUGAAUAACCCCAGAAUCUCCAGAAUUGAUAAUUGGAGGAAAUUCUACUGUUGGAAAGAAUGGAUGGAUUAUACAGCCCUGUUUUUUGACUGUUCAUUUUGUCCUUGGAGUCACUACCACUUGGCCUCAAAGUGUGAACAUGUAACCCUUUCCUUAAUACUUUGCUACACAGCUGAGCAGAAACUGUAAAUUUGGAUCCUUUGUCAGUACAACUUAAAAUGGAACAAUUUCAAUGGCUUAGGGUAAGAUAAGUAUGUAAAGAUACUUUUGUAAUAGAAGAAAAAACAUUGGAUAUUAAAAUCACACAGUAGUA